rnacentral:tRNA from 1 species
GGGGUAGUAGCUCAGUGGUAGAGCGCUCGCUUUGCACGUGACUUUCCCUUCCGAGUUGAGUUCAUGAAUGCGAGAGGUCCAGGGUUCAAUCCCCUGCUACUCCA